GGGCCCGUAGCUCAGCUUGGACAGAGCAGCACCGUCCUAAGGUGAUGGUCGCGGGUUCAAAUCCCGCCGGGCCCG
rnacentral:tRNA from 1 species